GUUAAGGUGGCAGAGCCCGGUAAUGCAAAAGACCUAAGCCCUUUUUACGGGGGUUCAUAUCCCCCCCUUAACU
rnacentral:tRNA from 1 species